rnacentral:rRNA from 1 species
UACGUAGGUGACCAGCGUUGUCCGGAUUUACUGGGCGUAAAGAGCGCGCAGGCGGUCGUUCAAGUCGAGUGUGAAAGCCCCGGGCUCAACCUGGGAACUGCAUUUGAAACUGGCGGGCUUGAGUGUGGCAGAGGGGGGUGGAAUUCCGCGUGUAGCAGUGAAAUGCGUAGAGAUGCGGAGGAACACCGAUGGCGAAGGCAGCCCCCUGGGCCAACACUGACGCUCAGGCACGAAAGCGUGGGGAGCAAACAGG